UCCUCCUUGUAAUUAUAGGUGAAGCAAUCUAUUAGUGAAGCUUGCAGUCUACACUCAUAGACCGCUUUGCCUAUCUCUACAAGGGGGA